GACGAACGCUGGCGGCGUGCUUAACACAUGCAAGUCGAACGGAAAGGCCCUGCUUUUGUGGGGUGCUCGAGUGGCGAACGGGUGAGUAACACGUGAGUAACCUGCCCUUGACUUUGGGAUAACUUCAGGAAACUGGGGCUAAUACCGGAUAGGAGCUCCUGCUGCAUGGUGGGGGUUGGAAAGUUUCGGCGGGUGGGGAUGGACUCGCGGCUUAUCAGCUUGUUGGUGGGGUAGUGGCUUACCAAGGCUUUGACGGGUAGCCGGCCUGGGUGGGUGACCGGCCACAUUGGGACUGAGAUACGGCCCAGACUCCUACGGGAGGCAGCAGUGGGGAAUAUUGCACAAUGGGCGGAAGCCUGAUGCAGCAACGCCGCGUGCGGGAUGACGGCCUUCGGGUUGUAAACCGCUUUCGCCUGUGACGAAGCGUGAGUGACGGUAAUGGGUAAAGAAGCACCGGCUAACUACGUG
rnacentral:rRNA from 1 species